GCGGAAGUAGCUCAAAUGAAAGAGCAUCGGUCACGUCGAGGUUGCAGGUUUAAGUCCUGUCUUCUGCA
rnacentral:tRNA from 1 species